UUAACCAUUAAAUAAACCCAAUAGGGCUGUUUUGCCCCCAAUAAGGGUAAUUAUAUCUUAGUUGGGAUAUGGGAGGUAAGUCCCCCAUCCAAGAGACAGAAGAGGUAAGCCCCCCAUCCAAGAGACAGAAGAGGUAAGCCCCCCAUCCAAGAGACAGAAGAGGUAAGUCCCCCAUCCAAGAGACAGAAGAGGUAAGUCCCCCAUCCAAGAGACAGAAGAGGUAAGUCCCCCAUCCAAGAGACAGAAGAGGUAAGCCCCCCAUCCAAGAGACAGAAGAGGUAAGUCCCCCAUCCAAGAGACAGAAGAGUUAAGUCCCCCAUCCAAGAGACAGAAGAGGUAAGUCCCCCAUCCAAGAGACAGAAGAGGUAAGUCCCCCAUCCAAGAGACAGAAGAGGUAAGUCCCCUAUCCAACAGAGGGAAGAGGUAUCUCACAGUAACCAGACACCUAUGUUUCUAAUUAAUACUAACUGCUGAUUGGACAAUACGUUACCAAAUAAAACUGAUUUAUGUUACUGAA